UUGAUUGCGAAUCGUUGUCUUCAGUGCUGGCCAGCUCUUGGCAAGUGCACGUUGGCGGCCUUUCAUCCACACCCUGUGCACCUUUGGCCUCUUGCUAGCUUCGGUCGGCAGAGGAUUUUUAUACCUACUCGAAUGUAAUGAAAUUAUUGUCGUGCGCAAGCACUAAUGUA
rnacentral:misc_RNA from 1 species